GACGAACGCUGGCGGCGUGCCUAAUACAUGCAAGUAGAACGCUGAAGGAGGAGCUUGCUUCUCUGGAUGAGUUGCGAACGGGUGAGUAACGCGUAGGUAACCUGCCUGGUAGCGGGGGAUAACUAUUGGAAACGAUAGCUAAUACCGCAUAAUAGCAGUUGUUGCAUGAUAACUGUUUGAAAGGUGCAAUUGCACCACUACCAGAUGGACCUGCGUUGUAUUAGCUAGUUGGUGGGGUAACGGCUCACCAUGGCGACGAUACAUAGCCGACCUGAGAGGGUGAUCGGCCACACUGGGACUGAGACACGGCCCAGACUCCUACGGGAGGCAGCAGUAGGGAAUCUUCGGCAAUGGACGGAAGUCUGACCGAGCAACGCCGCGUGAGUGAAGAAGGUUUUCGGAUCGUAAAGCUCUGUUGUAAGAGAAGAACGAGUGUGAGAGUGGAAAGUUCACACUGUGACGGUAUCUUACCAGAAAGGGACGGCUAACUACGUG
rnacentral:rRNA from 1 species